rnacentral:rRNA from 1 species
UUAAAUUGAAGAGUUUGAUCAUGGCUCAGAUUGAACGCUGGCGGCAGGCCUAACACAUGCAAGUCGAACGGUAACAGGAAGAAGCUUGCUUCUUUGCUGACGAGUGGCGGACGGGUGAGUAAUGUAUGGGAAACUGCCUGAUGGAGGG